UAACGCGAAGAACCUUACCUGGCCUUGACAUGUCGAGAAUCCCGAAGAGAUUUGGGAGUGCCGCAAGGAACUCGAACACAGGUGCUGCAUGGCUGUCGUCAGCUCGUGUCGUGAGAUGUUGGGUUAAGUCCCGCAACGAGCGCAACCCUUGUCCUUAGUUGCCAGCAUUAAGUUGGGCACUCUAAGGAGACCGCCGGUGACAAACCGGAGGAAGGUGGGGAUGACGUCAAGUCAUCAUGGCCUUUAUGGCCAGGGCUACACACGUGCUACAAUGGUAGAUACAGAGGGAAGCCAACUCGCGAGAGGGAGCCAAUCCCAGAAAAUCUAUCGUAGUCCGGAUCGGAGUCUGCAACUCGACUCCGUGAAGUCGGAAUCGCUAGUAAUCGCAGAUCAGCAUUGCUGCGGUGAAUACGUUCCCGGGUCUUGUACACACCGA
rnacentral:rRNA from 1 species